ACUUCAGAAUCCAAAGUCCGUUUUCUACAAGACCUACAUCUUUGUUCUAAUUGCAUAUGCAAGUGUCUAGCUGGCCUUUAGCCUACUUAUGCGCAUUCCAGCUUGUCGUAGGCUGACAAACCGAUGUGAUCAAUGGCUUCUUAGGAGAUUUAUCAAGUGGAUGCAUCAGGAAAGGGAUUAUGUUGGACGAGGAAUGUAUGAGCGAACAAACUGACUUAUCAAGCUCUCCCAAUAUAUCUGGAUAAGAUUUUCCAUCCAUGCGUCGGUUACAUUCGUUUUAACUUUUGGGGAGGUAAGCUGGCACUCGUUUGUGCAAAUCAUUCCAGAGGCCAUCUGUUCAAGAUAUGGACUUGCUGUGGGUGCCAAUUUUGGUAGGGCUUGUCCAUAUUCUGAUGAUAAUUUGCCAUCCAAUAGCUUAUCCAAUCGGGAAGAUCCUGGACUUUCUGCUUGGACAUAAUGAGUCUGCACUUUUCAGACGUGCACAACUAAAAGCUCUUGUUUUUAUCCAUAGCAAAGAGGUUGGUAAAGGUGAGGAACUAACACAUAAUGAGGCAACAAUUAUUAGGGUGGUUAGCUUUUGGUGUUGCGAACCCUUUGCUCGGCAUGGCGAGAAUUAUCAGAAGAUGAAUAUAGAGAAUGGUCUGUGUUGUUUAAAGAGGCUAAUGCUUCUCUAGUUGACUGGGAGGUGAGCUGUUUAGUUUUGAGAUCUUGAUUUUUCUCUACUUUCUGGUUUCUGUUCAAGUGAUUCUUUCCGACUGAACUCUGGCUUUGGUGAAAUGUUUGAGUCGUAUAAUGAAGAUGUAAAGUUUGUCUAUUCAUGCAAAUCAUUCCCUUUAGUGGAGAAGUGCUGAAGUUUGCCAACGUUUGGAACACAGUCUUGAGGUUCUUGGAGUUGCUGCAACAGAAGACCGUCUGCAGGGGAUUCUCUUUUUCCUUCUCUGGGGGUAUUGUUUCAUGCGAGAGCGUUCCUUUUGGUUUGACUUAAGUAGAUUGUCUUCAUUUUCUUUUGGAUGCCAAUGUAGAAAAGUGUUCCUGAAACAAUCGAUCUGCUUCGGAAGGUUGGAAUCAACUUUUGGAACUUUUGGAUGCUUACUGGUGAUAAACAAAAUACAACCAUUCAGAUAGCGCUCUCUUGCAACUUAAUUUCACCUGAUUAGUCAUGCUUCAUUCUUCUUUUCUCACGCGCCCAUGUCACUUUUGUCUCAUCAAGGCAGAUUGUCACAAAGAGCUGAAACGUUUUCACUUUUUGGCAUUUGAUAACUUUCAUAAAGAAAAUUAAUAAUCUUUUACUAUAUAAGAUCAUAAACUUUCUUUUGUGUGCAAGCUAUAUGUGGAUGUGAUCAGAAUGUGGUCUUAGUUCUCUUUUCUUCCUUCAUGCAAGAUCUUCAGUAUGUGGCUGAAGGGAAGUCGCCCUUGAUCUUGUUUUGUGCUGCUGUUGGUGGAGACUCUGUCCUGCACAGAUGGUGUAGGCAUACGUGAGAAAGCUAAUAGGAAGACUGCCAGAUCUAAUAGUAUGGUUCCUUUUGAUAAAGUUACUGAUGUUGUUUCUGUUGGACAUGAUCCUCCUUAUUUCUUGCGCUUUCUAUCACAAACUACUUAGUCAUGCAUAAGCUAUCAAAUGGUAGUAGAACUUAUGUCAGUUAGAUCAUGCAGAGCCAAAAGGACAGCUUCUGUUAAUAAAUGGGAGGAAUUCCAUAUUUCCAGGCCUUCAAACUAACUGAAAUCCUUGAUUCAUGCUAUCCAUCUAAUUCAAAUUUACUGCUUACAUAACCCGAUAAUGUGGCAAUUCAUGAGAACAUGGAAGGAGAGUACGGUAGUCUGAGCAUCAGUUGUUAGAGGAGUUGUUGACAGUCUCAAAAUCAUUACCAGACAAGCUUGUCUGACAUUUGGAGAAUAUGCUUUCCACUAUGCUAAAACCCAUGGAAGAAAAAAAGUCUCAUACACAAAGCCAACAUCAGGAGGAAGACUGAUGGACUUUUUCUUAAGUGUUGCCGAGAGGGUAGCGGAAAAGUAUCCAGAGAUCUAUUAUGAGGAAGUCAUCAUUGAUAAUUGUUGUAUGAUUACCACAAUGAUCCAGGUGUUGCUAUGUUGGUAUAAUAUGGAAGGGUUCUGCCUAACCCUGAUCUUGCUACCCAUUGAAAAGGAGAAGAGAGCCUGAUUAUUUGGAGAGGCCAGCGAGCGAGGGAGAAAGAGUAGCACACGACAACUUUCUAUAGGCAUCGACAUGAGGGAGGCAAGGCCCACACACUGGACGCAAUAGUCUGCACCCUUUCCCAUCAAGUUGGUCACCACCUGCAAUAUCCACCAACCAGCUUGGGUUCCAUCAUAUUUGUAGCAUUAAUUCUGAGUGUUUUUAGUGAUGCAUUUGUAACUUUUAGGCUCCCACUGUUUGGAAAACUGGACAUGGUCGAAUUUGUUUUAAAGUUGGAUUGAGAUGAGUUUGACUUCUUCA